rnacentral:rRNA from 1 species
GACCGAACCGACUUACGUUGAAAAGUGAGCGGAUGAACUGAGGGUAGCGGAGAAAUUCCAAUCGAACCUGGAGAUAGCUGGUUCUCUCCGAAAUAGCUUUAGGGCUAGCCUCAAGUGAUGAUUAUUGGAGGUAGAGCACUGUUUGGACGAGGGGCCCCUCUCGGGUUACCGAAUUCAGACAAACUCCGAAUGCCAAUUAAUUUAACUUGGGAGUCAGAACAUGGGUGAUAAGGUCCGUGUUCGAAAGGGAAACAGCCCAGACCACCAGCUAAGGUCCCAAAAUAUAUGUUAAGUGGAAAAGGAUGUGGCGUUGCCCAGACAACUAGGAUGUUGGCUUAGAAGCAGCCAUCAUUUAAAGAGUGCGUAAUAGCUCACUAGUCGAGUGACACUGCGCCGAAAAUGUACCGGGGCUAAACAUAUUACCGAAGCUGUGGAUUGUCCUUUGGACAAUGGUAGGAGAGCGUUCUAAGGGCGUUGAAGCAUGAUCGUAAGGACAUGUGGAGCGCUUAGAAGUGAGAAUGCCGGUGUGAGUAGUGAAAGACGGGUGAGAAUCCCGUCCACCGAUUGACUAAGGUUUCCAGAGGAAGGCUCGUCCGCUCUGGGUUAGUCGGGUCCUAAGCUGAGGCCGACAGGCGUAGGCGAUGGAUAACAGGUUGAUAUUCCUGUACCACCUAUAAU